rnacentral:rRNA from 1 species
UACGGAAGGUGCAAGCGUUGCUCGGAAUUACUGGGCGUAAAGGGCGCGUAGGUGGCCUUUUGAGUCAGACGUGAAAUCCCCCGGCUUAACCUGGGAACUGCAUCUGAUACUGGAAGGCUUGAGUUCGGGAGAGGGAUGUGGAAUUCCAGGUGUAGCGGUGAAAUGCGUAGAUAUCUGGAGGAACACCGGUGGCGAAGGCGGCAUCCUGGACCGAAACUGACACUGAGGCGCGAAAGCCAGGGGAGCAAACGGG